GGCGAACGCUGGCGGCGUGCUUAACACAUGCAAGUCGAACGGAAAGGCCCUGCUUUUGUGGGGUGCUCGAGUGGCGAACGGGUGAGUAAUACAUCGGAACGUGCCCCUGUAGUGGGGGAUAACUAGUCGAAAGAUUAGCUAAUACCGCAUACGACCUGAGGGUGAAAGUGGGGACCGCAAGGCCUCAUGCUAUAGGAGCGGCCGAUGUCUGAUUAGCUAGUUGGUGAGGUAAAGGCUCACCAAGGCGACGAUCAGUAGCUGGUCUGAGAGGACGAUCAGCCACACUGGGACUGAGACACGGCCCAG
rnacentral:rRNA from 1 species